rnacentral:rRNA from 1 species
UACGUAGGGUGCGAGCGUUGUCCGGAAUUAUUGGGCGUAAAGGGCUCGUAGGCGGCUUGUCACGUCGGGUGUGAAAGCCCGGGGCUUAACCCCGGGUCUGCAUUCGAUACGGGCAGGCUAGAGUGUGGUAGGGGAGAUCGGAAUUCCUGGUGUAGCGGUGAAAUGCGCAGAUAUCAGGAGGAACACCGGUGGCGAAGGCGGAUCUCUGGGCCAUUACUGACGCUGAGGAGCGAAAGCGUGGGGAGCGAACAGG